rnacentral:rRNA from 1 species
GACGUAGGGGGCCAGCGUUGUUCGGAAUUACUGGGUGUAAAGGGUUCGUAGGCGGUGCGGCAAGUUGGGAGUGGAAAUCUCUGGGCUUAACCCAGAGGCUGCUUCCAAAACUGCUGUGCUUGAGUGUGGGAGAGGCGCGUGGAAUUGCAGGUGUAGCGGUGAAAUGCGUAGAUAUCUGCAGGAACACCCGUGGCGAAAGCGGCGCGCUGGACCACUACUGACGCUGAGGAACGAAAGCUAGGGGAGCAAACAGG